CGGAUUGACUGGGCGUAAAGAGCGCGCAGGCGGAUGGCCAAGUCCGAUGUGAAAGCUCCCGGCUUAACUGGGAAACUGCAUCGGAAACUGGUCGGCUUGAAGGUGGGAGAGGGUAGCGGAAUUCCCGGUGUAGUGGUGAAAUGCGUAGAUAUCGGGAGGAACACCAGUGGCGAAGGCGGCUACCUGGCCCAUUCUUGACGCUGAGGCGCGAAAGCUAGGGGAGCGAACGGG
rnacentral:rRNA from 1 species